rfam:Myotis brandtii contig294642, whole genome shotgun sequence.
GUGCUUCCUUCAGCAGCAUAUAUACUAAAAAUUGGAAUGACACAGAGAUUAGCAUGGCUCCUGAGCAAGGAUGAUAUGCAAAUUCAUGAAGCAUUCCACUUUUUA